rnacentral:rRNA from 1 species
UGUCUCAGUUCGGAUUGGAGUCUGCAACCCGACUCCAUGAAGCUGGAUUCGCUAGUAAUCGCGCAUCAGCCACGGCGCGGUGAAUACGUUCCCGGGCCUUGUACACACCGCCCGUCAAGCCAUGGAAGCCGGGAGUGCCUGAAGUGCGUGACCGCAAGGAGCGUCCUAAGGCAAUACCGGUGACUGGGGCUAAGUCGUAACAAGGUACC